CAGCAGCCGCGGUAAUACAGAGGGUGCGAGCGUUAAUAGGAUUUACUGGGCGUAAAGCGUGCGUAGGCGGCUAAUUGAGUCGGAUGUGAAAUCCCCGAGCUUAACUUGGGAAUUGCAUUCGAUACUGGUUAGCUAGAGUGUGGGAGAGGAUGGUAGAAUUCCAGGUGUAGCGGUGAAAUGCGUAGAGAUCUGGAGGAAUACCGAUGGCGAAGGCAGCCAUCUGGCCUAACACUGACGCUGAGGUACGAAAGCAUGGGGAGCAAACAGGAUUAGAUACCCCAGUAGUCCCUGUCUCUUAUAC
rnacentral:rRNA from 1 species